rnacentral:rRNA from 1 species
UAAACGCUGGCGGCGUGCUUAACACAUGCAAGCGAACGGAUGGGUUCUCCCGAGGAUUGAUGGUGCUUGCACCUGAUUGACUCAUUGAAUCACUUAGUGGCGGACGGGUGAGUAACGCGUGGGUAACCUGCCUCACACAGGGGAUAACAGUUGGAAACGACUGUUAAUACCGCAUAAGCGCACAUGACCGCAUGGUCAAGUGUGAAAAACUCCGGUGGUGUGAGAUGGACCCGCGUCUGAUUAGCUAGUUGGUGAGGUAACGGCCCACCAAGGCGACGAUCAGUAGCCGGCCUGAGAGGGUGUACGGCCACAUUGGGACUGAGACACGGCCCAAACUCCUACGGGAGGCAGCAGUGGGGAAUAUUGGACAAUGGGGGAAACCCUGAUCCCAGCGACGCCGCGUGAACGAAGAAGUAUCUCGGUAUGUAAAGUUCUAUCAGCAGGGAAGAUAAUGACGGUACCUGACUAAGAAGCACCGGCUAAAUACGUGCCAGCCGCCGC